rnacentral:rRNA from 1 species
GAUGAACGCUAGCGGCAGGCCUAACACAUGCAAGUCGAGGGGCAUCAUGGCGUAGCAAUACGCUGAUGGCGACCGGCGCACGGGUGCGUAACGCGUAUGGAACCUACCCACCGCAGGGGGAUAACCCGCCGAAAGGCGGACUAAUACCCCAUGGUUCCCCGACCCUGCCUGGGGUUGGGGGUAAAGCCUACGGGCGGCGGUGGAUGGCCCUGCGUGCCAUUAGCUGGCUGGUGGGGUAACGGCCCACCAGGGCGACGAUGGCUAGGGGGUCUGAGAGGACGAUCCCCCACACUGGUACUGAGACACGGACCAGACUCCUACGGGAGGCAGCAGUGAGGAAUAUUGGUCAAUGGGCGGAAGCCUGAACCAGCCAUGCCGCGUGCAGGAUGACGGCCCUACGGGUUGUAAACUGCUUUUAUAUGGGAGCAAUAAGGUUUACGCGUAGACCGAUGAGAGUACCAUAUGAAUAAGCAUCGGCUAACUCCGUGCCAGCAGCCGCGGUAAA